rnacentral:rRNA from 1 species
GGUUUAAUUUCGAUGCAACGCGAAAAAACCUUACCCACCUUUGACAUGGCAGGAAGUUUCCAGAGAUGGAUUCGUGCCCGAAAGGGAACCUGCACACAGGUGCUGCAUGGCUGUCGUCAGCUCGUGUCGUGAGAUGUUGGGUUAAGUCCCGCAACGAGCGCAACCCUUGCCAUUAGUUGCUACGAAAGGGCACUCUAAUGGGACUGCCGGUGACAAACCGGAGGAAGGUGGGGAUGACGUCAAGUCCUCAUGGCCCUUAUAGGUGGGGCUACACACGUCAUACAAUGGCUGGUACAGAGGGUUGCCAACCCGCGAGGGGGAGCUAAUCCCAUAAAGCCAGUCGUAGUCCGGAUCGCAGUCUGCAACUCGACUGCGUGAAGUCGGAAUCGCUAGUAAUCGCGGAUCAGAAUGUCGCGGUGAAUACGUUCCCGGGUUUUGUACACACCGCCCGUCACACCAUGGGAGAGGGUUUUUCCAGAAGUAGGGAGCCUUUGUUNAUGGNNNANAUUUAGCAAGCNGCUUCGAAUANC